rnacentral:rRNA from 1 species
GACGAACCGUGCGAACGUUGUUCGGAAUUACUGGGCGUAAAGGGCUCGUAGGUGGCCAACUAAGUCAGACGUGAAAUCCCUCGGCUUAACCGGGGAACUGCGUCUGAUACUGGAUGGCUUGAGUUUGGGAGAGGGAUGCGGAAUUCCAGGUGUAGCGGUGAAAUGCGUAGAUAUCUGGAGGAACACCGGUGGCGAAGGCGGCAUCCUGGGACCAACACUGACGCUGAGGAGCGAAAGCCAGGGGAGCAAACGGGG